rnacentral:rRNA from 1 species
CAGGAUGAACGCUGGCGGUCUGCUUAACACAUGCAAGUCGAACGCAACCUUCGGGUUGAGUGGCGGACGGGUGAGUAACGCGUGAGAAUCUGCCUUGGGGUCGGGGACAACCACUGGAAACGGUGGCUAAUACCGGAUAAGCCUUUGGGUAAAAAAUUUAUUGCCCCAAGAGGAGCUCGCGUCUGAUUAGCUAGUUGGUGAGGUAAAAGCUCACCAAGGCAGCGAUCAGUAGCUGGUCUGAGAGGACGAUCAGCCACACUGGGACUGAGACACGGCCCAGACUCCUACGGGAGGCAGCAGUGGGGAAUUUUCCGCAAUUGGGCGAAAGCCUGACGGAGCAAGACCGAGUGAGGGAGGAAGGCUCUUGGGUUGUAAAACCUCUAAUACUCAGGGGAAGAAAGCUCUGACGGUACCUGAGGAAUCAGCCUCGGCUUAACUCCGUGCCAGCAGCCGCGGUAAUACGGAGGAGGCAAGCAUUAUCCGGAAUUAUUGGGCGUAAAGCGUCCGAAGGUGGCGAUU